ensembl:lncRNA
UUAUUUUUUGUAAUUCAUAUUUUUUCAUUUAAUCAAAAAUUUAAUUUGUGAAAUUUGUAUUUGAGAAUGAAGAAUGUGACAAUAUAUUUUUGUUCAAUAUUUAAUUUCUUUCAGUUGCAAUUGUUAAAUAAAAAAAUAUUCUUAUAAUUUAGCAAACUAAUUUAUCAAAAAAAUAUACUGUAUAUACAUAUAUCCGUAUUAGUUUUAAUAAAUUAAUUUGACACCUGUAUUGAAAAUACCAUAUUGUAUUCAUACAGAAUCAAUAUGGUAUCAUUGUUUGUCUGUUCACUGAUUGCUGAAACUAAGAGCUAGUUUGAUCUGUUUAGAUCUAAAGUAUCCAAACUCGAGCUCUAAUGUUUCUUCACCCUUGUGUGUGUGAUAUCUGAUUUCCUGCAUGCUGGCAGAGCAGCAGUUUGUGCUAACAGAUGGAGACGGUGUGGAGAGACGGUGGUGUUUCCUCAGAAGAACUAGCAGAGUCACCAAGGACACCAGUCCAUCUCACCACCUUGACUUGCUGACUGAUGCUGAUGCUCGUCUGCACUGCACAGAGGAAAUCAACUGACCGAGGAGUGUUUCUGAGUGAGGGAGAGAGGAGUCAUCAUCCAGGUAAAGUGACGUGGAUCAGUGGAUACACUUGUCUCCCCUUUAAAGGAGAUACUCUUAGAGAGAGACAAUCCGAGUCAUCCUUAAAUGUUAGUGCUUUCAAAUACACAAACAUUUUUAAAGGACAAAAACAAACAUCCAACUUUGACUGUAACACAAAAUAAAUCUUUGCAUGUGUGUUUUCAAACUCUCAGAUGGGCAGGAUAUCAGUCUUGGACUGUCUAACCUCCCGGAGCAGCACUGAAUGAUCACCACACAUGAGCAUGUUCCUGCAACAUUCAGCAUCUGAUCCUUGUUCAUCUGUGUGCUUCUGCUUUUGGUAAAUAGAGUUACCUAACUACAGUAACUAAACACAUGCCAUCCAUUUCUAACGUCCUGGUUACUUCCUGUCAGUUAUUUUAGAAACCAUGUGGUCACCUGACCUAACACUGUUUCUUCUUCUUCCCUUUAAUGUUGAAGUGUCAAAUGUCCAACAGCUGGAGAGGAAACUAAACCAGUGUACUGGGAUGUUUCAUCAACAUGUGCCAGACGCUGUUCCUUCAUGGGGACAUCACCAGAGACAGCCCCGCCCACCUCAGGACCUCGCCAUUGAUCAUGAUGAUUAUAAUGAUGACAGCGAGCGGAACUAAGACUGUAAAAAUCUAUGACCAGAAUGUUUAGGUGCUUUCUAAUUAUUAAUGAAUACUGAGAGCCUCUUUCUGUGUUUUGUCUGUUUUGAUUUUUUUACCUCAUUUGUUUCUAACAAAGUUCCCCAAACUCACACAGUUUACAUUCUGUAUGCGUUUCCAUCUUUACCAGCCACACUCUAACUGCCUUUAGGAAAACAAACCAUAGAAAUCGUCGUUUUUCUCUUUUGUAAUUGAUGAUAAUUCAGUGAAUAUAUUGCGCUGCUUCCUUUUAUUGCGUCACACAUUGCUUUACGUUUUUCAGUGUCCAGUUAUUUUUUACUGCUGUUUGAAUUCUCUGUAUGUUUAACCCUAUAGACUGUGUAAUGGACUGCUUGUCGCCCUGUUUGUAACCGCCGCCUGCUUUUGACUAAAGAUUUGGAUUUCUGACUUUAACACAGCCUCUGUGUGUCCUCCCUUUGUG